AAUGCCCGAUUCGAUCCCAAACACAGUGUUAAUCGCGAUUCUUUCAACUAUGUACCCCAGCCCAGAACGCGGGUACCACGGGAGCGUCCCUCUUCUGAGACAGGCAGAUUUUGCACAGCAUCCCGACCACGGACUCCUGGGGCUGGGGGAGCUCUCUGUGCACCCCAGGGAAACACACAGCUCUGAUCACGCCAGCACUCCACAAAAGUCAUCCAAAAGGACUCUCUAAACCAGCUUCGCCCUUCUCCCAGCCGCCAGCAUCUCCGGAGGCACCGGAACCCGCAGCCAGCCGGCCCGGACGUCAACCUCGCGUCUGUGAGGCGGGUGCGCGCUUACCUUGGUGUCCAGGCGCCCUAGCCCCGGGCUGUCACUCCGCAGGCAGCAGGACAGCCGCGGGUAGAAGCCGCCGCACAGCACCUCUCCCCCACUCAGCAGCUCCAGCUGAGACAUCAGCCGCCUGUCUCUCCGUUUCAGGCGCUUCGGGGGGUUCCCAUUUAGGCACCUUCGCCUCCUCGCUCCGCUCCCUUCGCUUCUUUCCCCAAACUUAGCAUCUCCUUCGAAGAAGCCCAGAGCCACGGCCAACAGCAGCAGCUUAAAGGAGAGCAUCUUCAGCAUCGUCUGCCCGGAGCGGCAGGGGCUGGGCGCGCGAGGCUGGGGGGGAGCGCCACUGCCCAGCAGGGGCACUAGGGCGCAGCUCCAGGAGGAGGCUGCGGGGGACACUCGAGAGGCAGAGAGCGGUGGCGGGGGCGAAAAUAAGUAGAGCGAUGCGACUUUGCAAAAAAUAAAGGACAAGGCGAUGUGUCCGGUGCCUUGGGGGAGUCCGAGGAGCAAGAUAAAGUUGUGCGGAUGGCACCGUUUGCAGCUGUGCCAGUGUCAGCUGGGUUAGGGGUUUCCUGCCGCGGCUGGCAAGUGGGAGGAGGAGAAGGGGAUGGAAAAGGAGGAGGAAGAAGAGGAGGAGAAGACGGCCACAGAGGUUCACUUUUCCGUGUAACGGGAGUUGUUUAGGAGCUGUUUUCUGAAUGAAAAGAUGGAGGUACCAGGAUAGUUUUUUUGUGAUGUGGAAGAAAAUUAAAUGAAGAGACCUCCAAGUUUUGGAUGAAACAAAAUUCUUUUAGACAAGAAGUGGCAAGUUGGAACAUUGUGAACUUCAGACAGAGAGAGAAGACCAGAUUGAAAGAAAG